GACGAACGCUGGCGGCGUGCCUAAUACAUGCAAGUAGGACGCAGUUGCGAACGGGUGAGUAACGCGUAGGUAACUACCUAUUAGAGGGGGAUAACUAUUGGAAACGAUAGCUAAUACCGCAUACUAGUAGAUGGACCUGCGUUGUAUUAGCUAGUAGGUAGGGUAAUGGCCUACCUAGGCAACGAUACAUAGCCGAACUGAGUGGGUGAUCGGGCACAAAUGGAAUGAGAUACGGGCAAGAAGCCUACGGGAUGCAGCAGUAGGGAAUCUGCGGCAAUGGGGGGAACGCUGACCGAGCCACUGCGCGGGAGUGAAGAAGGGUUUCCGAUCGUAAAGCUCUGUUGUUAAGGAAGCGGUACUUAACCAGAAAGGGACGGCUAACGACGUGCCAGCAGCUGCGGUAAUAC
rnacentral:rRNA from 1 species